AUUGAACGCUGGCGGCAGGCCUAACACAUGCAAGUCGAGCGGAGCGGCGGACGGGUGAGUAAUGCCUAGGAAUCUGCCUGGUAGUGGGGGAUAACGUCCGGAAACGGGCGCUAAUACCGCAUACUAUCAGAUGAGCCUAGGUCGGAUGAGCUAGUUGGUGGGUUAAAGGCCUACAAAGGCGACGAUCCGUAACUGGUCUGAGAGGAUGGUCAGUCACACUGUAACUGAGACAUGGCCCAGCCUCCUACGGGAGGCAGCAGUGGGGAAUAGUGGACAAGGGUCGAAAGCCUGAUCCAGCCAUGAGGCGUGUGUGAAGAAGGUCUUCUGAGUGUAAAGCACUUUAAGUUGGGAGGCGUUACCAACAGAAUAAGCACCGGCGAACUUCGUGCCAGCAGCCGCGGUAAUAC
rnacentral:rRNA from 1 species